rnacentral:lncRNA from 1 species
CGACGUUCUGCUGCAAAUGUUCUGCUGCAAAUGUUCUGCAGCCCACAGAACGGUUCUACUGCAGGAACAUAGGGCCGUUAUCCCAGCAUGCAGUGGCUGCAGAUGUUCUCCAGCCCACAGAGCGGUUCUACAGCAGGAACGUAGGGCUGUUAUCCCAGUGUGCAGCGGCUGCAGACGUUCUGCUGCAGACGUUCUGCUGCAAAUGUUCUGCUGCAAAUGUUCUGCAGCCCACAGAACGGUUCUACAGCAGAAACAUAGGGCUGUUAUGCCAACAUGCAGCAGCUGCAGAUGUUCUCGCAUCCUCCUCCAGGUUAAUAACACGUCACAGAGUCAGUGCCUAAUGAAAUGGGACGUUUCUGUCUGUGUUCUGUCUGUGUUCUACUUUUGUUCUGUCUGUGCUCUGCCUGGGUUUUGUCUGGGUUCUGCCUGUGUUCUACCUGUGUUCUGCCUGUGUUCUGCCUGUGUUCUACCUGUGUUCUGCCUGUGUUCUACCUGUCUUCUGCCUGUGUUCCACCUGUGUUCCACCUGUGUUCUGCUUGUGUUCCACCUGUGUUCUGCCUGUGUUCUGCCUGUGUUCCACCUGUGUUCCGCCUGUGUUCUGCCUGUGUUCCACCUGUGUUCUGCCUGUGUUCUGCCUGUGUUCCACCUGUGUUCUGCUUGUGUUCCACCUGUGUUCCCCCUGUGUUCUGCCUUUGUUCUGCUUGUGUUCUGCCUGUGUUCCACCUGUCUUCCACCUGUGUUCUGCUUGUGUUCCACCUGUGUUCCACCUGUGUUCCACCUAUGUUCCGCCUGUGUUCUGCCUGUGUUCCACCUGUGUUCCACCUAUGUUCCGCCUGUGUUCUGCCUGUGUUCCACCUGUGUUCCACCUGUGUUCUGCCUGUGUUCUGCAUGUGUUCUAUCUGUGUUCUGUCUGGAGCUUGUAGGCAUAUUCUUCUCGAUUAACAACAGAUUAACCUUGAUCUGUGAGCUCUUGAGCAGAACUUUUGUCCUGUUCCUUUUCAUCUGACGCAGCUCUCAUUCACAGUAACAAACUGUCUUUUCAGCUUCAAACUGCAGAAUUCUGAAUCAUCUAACGAGACUUUUUUCCACUAACACAGUCUCUUAAAGCUCGUUCUCAC